UGGUCUUAUACUGGCAGAGCUGGUGCACCAUUGGUCGUUCUGGAGGAGCUGGAAUGACAGGUCUUUGGAGGGAGUCUUUCAGUCAGUGUUGCACAGAGUUACGAAUAUUUUGUAAGAUGAGGCAGCGUGUUUGUCCUGCUUUGUGUGCAUCCUACAAAAAAGUGGGAGUGUGUGUGUGAGAGGUGUGUCAGAGGUGUGUGUGUGUGUGUGUGUGUGUGUGUGUGUGUGUGUGUGUGUGUGUGUGUGAGAGGUGUGUGAGAGGUGUGUGAGAGGUGUGUGUGUGGUGUGUGUGUGUGAGAGAGGUGUGUGUAUGAGAGAGUUGUGUGUGUGUGUGAGAGAGUGUGUGUGUGUGUGUGAGAGAGGUGUGUGUGUGUGUGUGUGAGAGGUGUGUGUGUGUGUGUGUGUGAGAGUGUGUGUGUGUGUGAGAGGUGUGUGUGUGUGUGUGAGAGAGGUGUGUGUGUGAGAGAGGUGUGUGUGUGAGAGAGGUGUGUGUGUGAGAGAGGUGUGUGUGUGAGAGAGGUGUGUGUGUGAGAGAGGUGUGUGUGUGUGAGAGAGAGGUGUGUGUGUGAGAGAGGUGUGUGUGUGUGUGAGAGGUGUGUGUGUGAGAGAGGUGUGUGUGUGAGAGAGGUGUGUGUGUGAGAGAAGUGUGUGUGUGUGUGAGAGAGGUGUGUGUGUGUGUGAGAGAGGUGUGUGUGUGUGAGAGGUGUGUGUGUGUGAGAGAGGUGUGUGUGUGUGUGAGAGGUGUGUGUGUGUGUGAGAGAGGUGUGUGUGUGUGAGAGAGGUGUGUGUGUGUGUGUGUGUGAGAGGUGUGUGUGUGUGUGUGAGAGAGGUGUGUGUGUGUGUGUGAGAGAGGUGUGUGUGUGAGAGAGUUGUGUGUGUGAGAGAGGUAGGUGUGUGUGAGAGAGGUAGGUGUGUGUGAGAGAGGUAGGUGUGUGUGAGAGAGGUAGGUGUGUGUGUGAGAGGUAGGUGUGUGUGUGAGAGGUAGGUGUGUGUGAGAGGUGUGUGUGUGUGUGUGUGAGAGAGGUGUGUGUGAGAGAGGUGUGUGUGUGUGAGAGAGGUGUGUGUGUGUGUGUGUGUGUGUGAGAGGGUGUGUGUGUGAGAGAGGGGG